CUUUAUAUGUGAUAGAGAUUUCUCUUGAUUUACAUAAACUUGAACUUUGAUUUUCUCGACUUAUACACAACGUAUUUUUUGAAAAUUACUUCGCCAAUGAACUUACUAGAUCGAUCGUUUUUGAAGCAAUUUAAAACAUUCGCAGUGCGUGUUUUAUCAGACCUAAAGAUACUCGGCUUCGCCUCGUAUCUUUAUAUCUGAUAAAACACUGCUACUCAUGUUUUAAA
rnacentral:lncRNA from 1 species